rnacentral:rRNA from 11 species
AGACAAUCAGGAGGUUUGCUUAGAAGCAGCAAUCCUUUAAAGAGUGCGUAAUAGCUCACUGAUCGAGUAAACCUGCGCCGAAAAUGUACGGGACUAAGUAAUUUGCCGAAACUGUGCGAUAUAUAAAAUAUAUCGGUAGGGGAGCGUUCUGUUGUAGGUUGAAGUAUUAGCGGAAGCGGAUAUGGACGAAGCAGAAGUGAGAAUGUCGGCUUGAGUAACGAAAAUAUAGGUGAGAAUCCUAUACCCCGAAAACCCAAGGUUUCCUCCGGAAGGCUCGUCCGCGGAGGGUAAGUCAGGACCUAAGGCGAGGCUGAAAAGCGUAGUCGAUGGACAACGGGUUAAUAUUCCCGUACCAUUAUUUGUUGAUAUCGAGGGACGGAGAAGGCUAAGCUGGCCGGAUAUUGGUUACCGGUUUAAACGUUCGAGAUGAUGAGAAACGGCGAAAACGUUUUGAGUUGAGGCGUGAGUACGAGAUGCUACGGCAUUGAAGCAGUCUAUGUCAUACUUCCAAGAAAAGCUUGCACUGUCAUAAACAAAUAAUGCCUGUACCAUAACCGACACAGGUGGGUAGGUAGAGUAUACUAAGGGGCGCGAGAUAACUCUCUCUAAGGAACUCGGCAAAAUGACUCCGUAACUUCGGGAGAAGGAGUGCCUUAUUUAUAAGGUUGCAAUAACAAGAUCCAAGCAACUGUUUAUCAAAAACACAGGUCUCCGCUAAGUCGUAAGACGAUGUAUGGGGGCUGACGCCUGCCCAGUGCCAGAAGGUUAAAGAAGUUGGUUAGCAUUAGCGAAGCUGAUAACUGAAGCCCUGGUGAACGGCGGCCGUAACAAUAACGGUCCUAAGGUAGCGAAAUUCCUUGUCGGGUAAGUUCCGACCUGCACGAAUGGUGUAACCAUGGCCACGCUGUCUCCACCCGAGACUCAGUGAAAUUGAAAUCGCAGUGAAGAUGCUGUGUACCCGCACCUAGACGGAAAGACCCCGUGAACCUUUACUAUAGCUUCACAGUGAACUUUGAGCAUGUUUGUGUAGGAUAGCUGGGAGGCUUUGAAGUGGGAACGCCAGUUCUCAUGGAGCCAACCUUGAAAUACCAGCCUGACAUGUUUGAGGUUCUAACUUCGUCCCCUUAUCGGGGAUAAGGACACUGUGUGGUGGGUAGUUUGACUGGGGCGGUCUCCUCCCAAAGCGUAACGGAGGAGCACAAAGGUGGGCUAAGCACGGUCGGACAUCGUGCGGUUAGUGUAAUGGCACAAGCCCGCUUGACUGCGAGACAGACACGUCGAGCAGGUACGAAAGUAGGUCAUAGUGAUCCGGUGGUUCUGUAUGGAAGGGCCAUCGCUCAACGGAUAAAAGGUACUCCGGGGAUAACAGGCUGAUACCGCCCAAGAGUUCACAUCGACGGCGGUGUUUGGCACCUCGAUGUCGGCUCAUCACAUCCUGGGGCUGAAGCCGGUCCCAAGGGUAUGGCUGUUCGCCAUUUAAAGUGGUACGCGAGCUGGGUUUAGAACGUCGUGAGACAGUUCGGUCCCUAUCUGGUGUGGGCGUUGGAUGAUUGAUGGGAGCUGCUCCUAGUACGAGAGGACCGGAGUGGACGAACCGCUGGUGUUCGGGUUGUCAUGCCAAUGGCAUUGCCCGGUAGCUAUGUUCGGAACGGAUAACCGCUGAAAGCAUCUAAGCGGGAAGCCCCUUCCAAGAUGAGAUCUCCCUGGACCCUUGAGGUCCCUGAAGAGCCGUUCAAGACCAGGACGUUGAUAGGUCGGGUGUGUAAGCGCUGCGAGGCGUUGAGCUAACCGAUACUAAUUGCUCGUGCG